AGUCGAACGGCAGCGGGGGCUUCGGCCUGCCGGCGAGUGGCGAACGGGUGAGUAAUGCAUCGGAACGUACCCAGUCGUGGGGGAUAACUACGCGAAAGCGUAGCUAAUACCGCAUACGUCCUGAGGGAGAAAGCGGGGGACCGCAAGGCCUCGCGCGAUGAGAGCGGCCGAUGUCAGAUUAGCUAGUUGGUGAGGUAAAGGCUCACCAAGGCGACGAUCUGUAGCGGGUCUGAGAGGAUGAUCCGCCACACUGGGACUGAGACACGGCCCAGACUCCUACGGGAGGCAGCAGUGGGGAAUUUUGGACAAUGGGGGAAACCCUGAUCCAGCCAUGCCGCGUGAGUGAAGAAGGCCUUCGGGUUGUAAAGCUCUUUCGGCCGGGAAAAAAUUGCACGGAUGAACAGUCUGUGUAGAUGAUGGUACCGGACUAAGAAGCACCGGCUAACUACGUGCCAGCAGCCGCGGUAAU
rnacentral:rRNA from 1 species